rnacentral:rRNA from 1 species
AGCAGCCGCGGUAAUUCCAGCUCCAAUAGCGUAUAUUAAAGUUGUUGCAGUUAAAAAGCUCGUAGUUGAAUUUCGGGGUCAGUAGAUUGGUCGUGCCACUGGUAUGCACUGGUCUUACUGGCUCCUCCUUCCUGAUGAACCGUAAUGCCAUUAAUUUGGUGUUGCGGGGAGACUGGACUGUUACUUUGAAAAAAUUAGAGUGUUUAAAGCAGGCUAACGCUUGAAUACAUUAGCAUGGAAUAAUGAAAUAGGACGUUCGAUCCUAUUUUGUUGGUUUCUAGGAUUGACGUAAUGAUUAAUAGGGAUAGUUGGGGGCAUUAGUAUUCAAUUGUCAGAGGUGAAAUUCUUGGAUUUAUUGAAGACUAACUACUGCGAAAGCAUUUGCCAAGGAUGUUUUCAUUAAUCAAGAACGAAAGUUAGGGGAUCGAAGACGAUCAGAUACCGUCGUAGUCUUAACCAUAAACUAUGCCGACUAGGGAUCGGAUGAUGUAAUUUUUAAUGACUCAUUCGGCGCCUUAAC